rnacentral:misc_RNA from 1 species
UCUCCGUAGGUGAACCUGCGGAGGGAUCAUUACAGAGUUCGUGCCCUCGCGGGUAGAUCUCCCACCCUGCGUUAUUGCUACCUUUGUUGCUUUGGCGGGCCGCCCUCGGCGACCGGCCCCGGCUGGUACGCGCCCGCCAGAGGAACCCAAACCCUGAACGUCAGUGCCGUCUGAGUACUAUACAAUAGUUAAAACUUUCAACAACGGAUCUCUUGGUUCUG